AGAGUUUGAUCCUGGCUCACGAUGAACGCUGGCGGCGUGCUUAACACAUGCAAGUCGAACGAAGCACUUGAGAUUGAAUCUUCGGAUGAGAACUCUUGUGACUGAGUGGCGGACGGGUGAGUAACGCGUGGGUAACCUACCUCAUACAGGGGGAUAACAGUUGGAAACGACCGCUAAUACCGCAUAACCCGCUAGUAUCGCAUGAUACGGACGGAAAAGAUUUAUCGGUAUGAGAUGGACCCGCGUCUGAUUAGCCAGUUGGCAGGGUAACGGCCUACCAAAGCGACGAUCAGUAGCCGGCCUGAGAGGGUGAACGGCCACAUUGGGACUGAGACACGGCCCAAACUCCUACGGGAGGCAGCAGUGGGGAAUAUUGCACAAUGGGGAAACCCUGAUGCAGCGACGCCGCGUGAGUGAGGAAGUAUUUCGGUAUGUAAAGCUCUAUCAGCAGGGAAGAAAAUGACGGUACCUGACUAAGAAGCCCCGGCUAACUACGUG
rnacentral:rRNA from 1 species